UACGAAGGGGGCUAGCGUUGUUCGGAAUCACUGGGCGUAAAGGGCGCGUAGGCGGCUUUAUAAGUCGGGGGGUGAAAGCCUGUGGCUCAACCACAGAAUUGCCUUCGAUACUGUAGAGCUUGAGACCGGAAGAGGUAAGUGGAACUGCGAGUGUAGAGGUGAAAAUUCGUAGAUAUUCGCAAGAACACCAGUGGCGAAGGCGGCUCACUGGCCCGAUACUGACGCUGAGGCACGAAAGCGUGGGGAGCAAACAGGG
rnacentral:rRNA from 1 species